AGAGUUUGAUCCUGGCUCAGGACGAACGCUGGCGGCGUGCUUAACACAUGCAAGUCGAACGAGGAUAGAUUGGAAGCUUGCUUUUGAUUUAUUCGAGUGGCGGACGGGUGAGUAACGCGUGAAUAAUCUGUCCUAUACAGGGGGAUAACGCAUCGAAAGAUGUGCUAAUACCGCGUAGGACCACGGUGUCGCAUGGCACUGAGGUGAAAGGAGCAAUCCAGUAUAGGGUGAGUUCGCGUCUGAUUAGAUAGUUGGUGAGGUAACGGCCCACCAAGUCAACGAUCAGUAGCCGACCUGAGAGGGUGAUCGGCCACAUUGGGACUGAGAGACGGCCCAGACUCCUACGGGAGGCAGCAGUGGGGAAUAUUGGGCAAUGGGCGAAAGCCUGACCCAGCAACGCCGCGUGAAGGAAGAAGGUUUUCGGAUUGUAAACUUCUGUCCUAUGUGAAGAGGUAGAGACGGUAGCAUAGGAGGAAGCCCCGGCUAACUACGUGCCAGCAGCCGCGGUAAUACGUAGGGGGCGAGCGUUGUCCGGAAUGAUUGGGCGUAAAGGGCGCGUAGGCGGCCUGUUAAGUCUGGAGUGAAAGUCCUGUUUUCAAGAUGGGAAUUGCUUUGGAUACUGAUGGGCUUGAGUGCAGGAGAGGUUAUCGGAAUUCCCAGUGUAGCGGUGAAAUGCGUAGAGAUUGGGAGGAACACCAGUGGCGAAGGCGGGUAACUGGACUGCAACUGACGCUGAGGCGCGAAAGUGUGGGGAGCAAACAGGAUUAGAUACCCUGGUAGUCCACACUGUAAACGAUGAAUGCUAGGUGUAAGAGGUAUCGACCCCUUUUGUGCCGCAGUCAACACAAUAAGCAUUCCGCCUGGGGAGUACGGCCGCAAGGUUGAAACUCAAAGGAAUUGACGG
rnacentral:rRNA from 1 species